ACGCUGGCGGCGUGCCUAAUACAUGCAAGUCGAACGCACAGCGAAAGGUGCUUGCACCUUUCAAGUGAGUGGCGAACGGGUGAGUAACACGUGGACAACCUGCCUCAAGGCUGGGGAUAACAUUUGGAAACAGAUGCUAAUACCGAAUAAAACUUAGUGUCGCAUGACACAAAGUUAAAAGGCGCUUCGGCGUCACCUAGAGAUGGAUCCGCGGUGCAUUAGUUAGUUGGUGGGGUAAAGGCCUACCAAGACAAUGAUGCAUAGCCGAGUUGAGAGACUGAUCGGCCACAUUGGGACUGAGACACGGCCCAAACUCCUACGGGAGGCUGCAGUAGGGAAUCUUCCACAAUGGGCGAAAGCCUGAUGGAGCAACGCCGCGUGUGUGAUGAAGGCUUUCGGGUCGUAAAGCACUGUUGUAUGGGAAGAACAGCUAGAAUAGGAAAUGAUUUUAGUUUGACGGUACCAUACCAGAAAGGGACGGCUAAAUACGUGCCAGCAGCCGCGGUAAUACGUAUGUCCCGAGCGUUAUCCGGAUUUAUUGGGCGUAAAGCGAGCGCAGACGGUUUAUUAAGUCUGAUGUGAAAGCCCGGAGCUCAACUCCGGAAUGGCAUUGGAAACUGGUUAACUUGAGUGCAGUAGAGGUAAGUGGAACUCCAUGUGUAGCGGUGAAAUGCGUAGAUAUAUGGAAGAACACCAGUGGCGAAGGCGGCUUACUGGACUGCAACUGACGUUGAGGCUCGAAAGUGUGGGUAGCAAAC
rnacentral:rRNA from 1 species